CUAAGAAUGAUGAGUGUGUAUGUAUAAUAUAUAUUGAAUUUAGGUAAAUAAAUUCCCUAAGAAAGCAAACGAAGCGUAGCAGGCAGGAUGAGCGACCACGACCAGCAGCAGGAGGUGUUUGAUGACCUACCUCGGUCCCUCGUUCUCUUGGAACUCAUCGCAGGAAUGAUUUUACCUCCCUUCGUCAUAACUGGAUUUAGUUACAAUAUGGUCCUCCUCAGUCCUCAUCAUGCACGAGGUCAAUUUGAAUAGUGAUUUACAGCGGAGCUUUAAUCAGUCGUCGAGUCAUUGAGGUGUGAUCAGUUAGAGAACCAGUCUGUGCACAAGAUGGUGUUAACUCCAAUAGCUAUGUUUUAGUAUGGACUUCUGUGUGGAAACCUUUGUGAUGUUUGAAUGUGAUGUAUAGAAUGCUAACUCCAAUAACUUUAAUUUAAAACUAUGAAUUUUAAUAGUUUGUGUUAUACUAAUAUAGUGCUCUUAACUAUGACAGUUGAAAAUUUUGUAAUAGUCAUAAUGUCUC